rnacentral:rRNA from 1 species
GACGAACGCUGGCGGCGUGCUUAACACAUGCAAGUCGAACGGUGAUGCUCCAGCUUGCUGGAGUGGAUCAGUGGCGAACGGGUGAGUAACACGUGAGCAACCUGCCCCAGACUCUGGAAUAAGCGCUGGAAACGGCGUCUAAUACUGGAUACGAAACUGGCCCGCAUGGGCAUGGUUUGGAAAGUUGUUCGGUUUGGGAUGGGCUCGCGGCCUAUCAGCUUGUUGGUGAGGUAAUGGCUCACCAAGGCGACGACGGGUAGCCGGCCUGGGAGGGCGACCGGCCACACUGGGACUGAGACACGGCCCAGACGCCUACGGGAGGCAGCAGUGGGGAAUAUUGCACAAUGGGCGAAAGCCUGAUGCAGCGACGCCGCGUGAGGGAUGACGGCCUUCGGGUUGUAAACCUCUUUCAGCAGGGAAGAAGCGAAAGUGACGGUACCUGCAGAAGAAGCACCGGCUAACUACGUG